AUUUUCUUGUGGAAACAAUUCAAUUCACUUCAGUUCAGUUCAGUUCAGUCUUAUCUAAUGCAAUUCAACAAAACAGUUAGGUACUUGUGUGUACAAUGCCAUAGUAUGAAGGAUAUUAAUUAUUUAAUAAACAUAUUACAGCUCCGUGAUAAGCAAUUGCUUUUUUAAUCACUGAGUGACAGUGAAAAAACAGAAGAAACAGAAAGUUUGGAUAUGAUAGUUCCUCUCUUUGCAAUUUUUGGAUUUGAGGAUAAGAUGCAGACAGAUACUAAUAUUGUAACAAGAAAAGUUACAAUACACACAAUACAAAGUGGUGUAUGAGGCCCAAAGGGAGAAGAAGAUCAUUAUGGAAAGGGAGGAAUAGGAAUCAAGGAAGGCUUCACAGAGGAGUUGAAGAUGGAGAAGAAUGGACUACAUAAGAGUAGAGAGGUGAACAUAGUGAGUAUUCAGAAAACCAAAUAGUCCAGUUUUCUUAGAAAAUAAAGCAUUCAUGAAAGAGAGUUAUACUAUAGAGACUAGUGCAAGUUGGUGGCAGACUGUGAAGGGCUUUGAAAGAGGGUUAAAUUAUCGUUACUAUAUAGUAGGGAGUAAAAGGACAUUUUUGAACAUAGGCAUGACAUAGCCACAUCUGUGCAUAAGAAAGACUUCAGGAAAUUCUAUGAAGUGGAGUAGUGGAGACUGGAGGAGUUCGGGAAAAUUUGCAAGGCUGUUUCUAAGUUAGUAGAGAGGGUUUUCUUGACAUUAAAGGUUGUGGGAAUAGAGAAAGAAUGGGAAGAGGUAUCAGAAUGUUAGAGAUGUUAGGCUCCAUGCUAGCUGAUAAAGGCCAACCUAACCUGCAAUAUGAACUCCAUAAAUUUGAGUGGAAACUCCUAAAGGCGCCUGCCAUCUUUUUGAAUUGGCUCUUUUCUUCAAUGACAUAGAUCUGAACAUCUCAGUUCCCACACAUCCUCUCUGACUAAUGAUGGUUUCCCAUAAAAUCACCAUAGCAUGUUGGAGCCUGUCUUUACUUUUUCUUGAUGCUAUAAAUUGUACCUGGGAUGUGCUUGGGAUGUCUGCCUAUCAUCCUUUCCCUAUACCACAUGACCAGUCCAUUUUCUUUUCCUAUCAUAUAUUUCACCAUUGACACUUUUGACAAUUGUCUUUCAAAGUUCCUUGUUGUUUAUAGAGUAGUAUAUUAUUGCAUCUUCUCCAUUGUCUACUAUAUGAUAUUAAUUUUUAAUUCUUCAGAGACCAUUAUCAUCCAUAUCUCAUGGCCAUCCCAUAAUACUUGAAAUGCAUAACAAUAAUAUAAAUAUAAAAUAUGCUAUUUUUUGGUUUGCCUCCUCUUCUGGUUCUUGGAAUUCUUGACACUGUCUUUAGUAGUUCUGGUUGCCAAAUUAUGUUGCACCACUCUGUGGAGUACCUAAGAUGCCAGGCCAGUGGGCUUGUAUUUUGUUCUAGAGACAGUAGGAAGCCAUCGAUUAUUUUUGCGUUGGAUGAUGAUGUGGAUAGACCUAUGCCUUAGGAAGAAAAUUGUAGCACUUAUGCAAAAUAAUGGUUAGAAAGGAAAGAAACUACAGAUAAGAAAAGUAGAAUUCUAUUUUAAUAGUCCAAAUAAGAGUUGAUGGGGGCUUGAACAAGGGUGGUGGCAAAAUAAAUAGAAUGGAAAGGAUAAUAAAAAUACAUUGAAAGGAGAGUUUCUAAGUCUUGAAAACAGAAUGGAUAUUAGGAAUGUGGGAGAGGGAAGAAUCAAAGAUAACAUCAAGAAUUUGAAACUGUGGUACUAGAAAAGUGGUGGUGAGGAAGAGAGAAAGUCUAGGUUUAAAGUAAAAUGGUAGUGAGGAGGAGAAGUCUACAUUUAAGGGGGAAAAGUUCAAUUUUAGUUAUUCCCAGUCUGAAAUCAACUCAGAUACAACUCAUCUGGGACUAAAGUUUAAGCAAGAUAGGUUUAGAUAUAGAGAUCUGAUAUAGAAAUGAACUGCAUUGAUGUGACACAUGGAUUAUUGGAGUGGUUGAGAUCACAAUGAGUGUAUAAUGAGAGAAGAGAAGACCAAACACAAAAUCUUAAGGGAUACUUACAUUUAGAGAAUGGGAGGAGAAUGAUCCAAGAAAUAUGAAAAAGCAAUUUCACAGAAACCAAGGGAAGGAUGAGUAUUCAGUAAAGGUUAGUCAACAAAGUUAAAAUCCAUAUAAAUGUCAAGGAGGAUAAAGACUGAGAAAAGGGUAACAUUUAGUCACUAUCAUUGGUGAUAGUUGAAGACUAGCUUCAGGAUUAGGGGCAGGGAGAAAGUUGGAAGCUAGAUAGCAAAUUGUUACAGAAGGAAUGUUUUUUGAGGAAGUUAAGGAUACCUAAUGUAGACCAACAAUUAUUAUAAAUCAGGACUUGGUUUAUUGCUUUGUUUUUUGCUUAGGCUUAAAACCGGUUAACAAUGGAGAUUAAAUUUAAAAUUGUGUGUGCAUACCCUAUCCCCAUUCCCACCCCUACCUAUCCCCAGUCCAGUUUUUAAACAUAAUUUUUAUGUUUAAAAUUUUUUAGAGGAUAGGAGACUCAAGAAAAGGUCCUGAAGGAUAUAGGAGACCUUUGUAUGUAUAUAGGAAGGAGAAAAAGAGCCUGUAGACAGAAAAACAAAAUAGGGCUGAGAGGUUCCUUGGGGUGAGUUGGGGGACUAUUUUAUUUAAAAAAUAUUUUUAAUGCCAGAAAAUUCAGCUGGCCAUUACGUGUGGACAUUGAUUUUGUAAUGUAGGGUCACAUAUGCUAUAAUUAGUGUCCAGAGCUUCUCAUUUCACAAACACAUUGCCUGACCCCUGAAGCCAUGGAAUGGGGAAACACUUAGAAAACAUUCAGUGUCAUAGUUCACAAUACACAUUAUGGGAGAUCUUUCCUUGAAGAUUCUAGGAGGAAGAAAAUAGAAUUGAAGAAAGACCUAUGGCUAGGUGCCUAGAACAGUAGAGGGACAGGAAACAUUUUGACUAGGAACUCUGGCACUUGUGGUAAAUUUAUUUGAGCAGAAAUCUGGAAGGAGGAGGGAAGAGAGUUUAAGAUAUGAUAACAUCUAUACAAGAUUGAGAAAAUCAGAGGUGUAUGAUGGUACUGCAGAGCUGAGAGCCCAGAGUGUUUAAAGGAGGGAUGGUUUGAGAGGUUGAGAAGAAUCAUAGGAUCAUUGAUUUUUGCUCUAGAUGGGACUUUUGAAGUUAUUGAGUCCAAAACUCUCAUUUUAGAAAUGGAACAACUGAGGCCGAGAGUCAUACAGCUAAGUGUUUUUGAAAGAAUUUGAAUCCAGGACUUCCUGACUUUAAUUGCAACUCCAUUUAUCAAGCCACAUUGCCUCAAGAAGAUUGUAAGCCAGGGAAAAGGAAAAGAACAUGAAGUUCUCUCUGUGUUCCUUGCAGAAGAGGGGACAUUCUCUCUGGUAAAGAGCAGCUGUGGAAGUUUUGAAAUACCAUGAGAAAAAUCACUCCAGCAUUCUAGGUUGUGAAGAAGCAGGAAUCCCUCAAUGAUUCAACAGAUAAAUGUCCUAGCCUUAAAAAAAUUACAGCCACAUCUGACAGAAAUUAAAAACCAUACUUAAAUGGAAUUGCAUAGCAGUGACUUUAGAAUUUGGGACAUCCAUCAAAGUCAUUACAAGUUCAACUGAGAAGCUCAGAGCCCUAAGAAAAAUAGUAAUCAAAUACCCUUUGGAUAUUCAACCUAUAAUGUGGCUGGGAGAAGGCAGAGGGAGCUUCAAGAAAGCAGCCUCUUGAGAAGACUUCUUCUAAUGUACUGUAAUCUCCAUCUUGGAAAGCCAUGAUUUCAUCUUUAUCUUCCUGCCAUGAGAUGGUAACCGGAAGAGGUCUCUUCCUUCAAAAGGUCUGAAAUUCAUGACCUCAACUGAAUUUUUCCAGAUGACCACUGUCAAGAGGAGAAAUCCAAUCUUUUGCUUGACUUGAUAAAAGACAUUUACCCUAAAUGAGUUGUUCUUAUAAUAUAAUUCUGCUGCAAAAGUGUCUGCUCACUUAAAAAUAAAUUCUUAUUUGUGAUUUCCAAACCAAGCUAUCUCCUUUUCAGCUGUCAUCUUUAUUUAUACACCCCCUUUCCUGCCAGGAACCUUGCACUUUGCCAUUAGAACCAACCUGGGCUUUUCUAGAUGAGUUUUCACUUUCAGAUAAUUUCAGGUAAUUACCAGAACU